GGGGCCGCCGCUCCGCCUCGGCAGCCGCCGGGCCGCCCGCAACUUGGGGGAGAGCCAGCCCAGCGCCGAGCCGUGCCCGGGAGCGCCCCGCCAGCUCCUACUCCAAAAGACGGCAAGAAAAAGGUGUCCAGCAGCUCAGAUUUUCAAAGUCUCAAAAAGUUACAGGCCCAGAAUUACCGUGAAAUUGCAGAGGAUUCCACCAACUGCUCUCAGUUCCAUGAGAAAUUCCAGGCUCUACCUUUCCAAGUUUAAUACUGAAACACCACAGAUAAAUACUUCCCUGUCAACAGAAUUUACCAUCACCUCAGGGGUUUAUGUCCCUCACAUACAAGCAUCUACUUCAUUGAGAUACCUCUGGUGACAAAGGAUCUUACACAACCUGCACUCUGCUGGUGGAAAUAAUCACAUACAGACCUGGUCUGUGCUACUUUUGUGAAAAAUACCUCAUCAGUUCUCAGCUAUGGGGAAACUCCACUUCCAUGAUUAAGCAUUAGCUCUAAAACUUCUCAAAGUCUACUAUGGAGUAUCAGUUCACAUCUUUGGAUUAUCUCAGAAUGAGAAAUUCCACCUUAUCAUGUGGCAAGAAAAGGGGUACUUACUGCCCAUGGAGUUCAUAGGGAGGACAGGAGAGGAGGAACUCAUCUGCUCCACAUCUGUAGCUAAUGGGAAAGUGAAAAUGAAAAAGAUGUGAUGUGCAUGUUACCAAGAAGUUUUUAUUUUGAAAACUUUCAUUUACACUUAAAUUGAAUAUGCUUGUCUUUGGUCACCUGAGGAAGCUGCUUUAGAAGCAGGUAGUUUUUAACAGCAUCAGCCUUCCCUCUUUUGAGAUAUGUCUAUCUCAUCCACGUUAUCUACAGAUGUACUUUUCCAAGCAUUUGUACUGGAAGUCUGUAAUUUGUGAUGGUUUGAGAGUAUCAAUUCAGAACAACUUCCAGCACAAAAAUUCUGGAUUACAUCAGCUUUAAACUGCAUUCAGACCAUUACUGUGGAAUGAAAAGACAUGAUGACCUCCCAUCUGUGUCCGGUGCACUUUUAAAAGAUUCCAGAUAGGAAGAGAGAUCCUCUUCCAUAGGCAGGCAAAAAUGCUGGUAUUUGAUCUGGAGCAGCAUCAAAAACAAGUGUUUUUAAACACAAGACACUCCAAAGCCUUAUUUUCUAACAGCUGAAAGAAGAAACAACUUCCUGCCUGUGUUUGCCAAUGAAAAACCCCAAAGUCAGAAUGUGAUCCAAACCAAAUGCCAGAUGCCCUCUGUGUUUUGGGAAGGAUCCACCUUUCCAGGACCCAAACCAGGAAAGACCUAUCUUCUAGUAACAGGGUCAAUUUUAACCCAAGAUUAGGGAAAACAAAGAUACAUUCUUUGGGGCUUGAUCUCUGUGAAAAGACCACAACCCCUCUCAGCACAUCACCACAAACACCAAAGUCAAGCAGAUCAGUCUCCAUCUUCAUCACUUUGGUGCUGAUAGAUCCCACAUAAUUAUAUACUCUGUAACUCCUGUUUAGCUUUAAGACCCAGUAAAUGCACACUACAAGUUACAUUCCUAACCACAGAACACAGCCCCAGAAGCACAACUCCAGCCCACAGCCAGGCUGUGCUGCCAGCCCAAAUCCUGCCUUUCACAUUCCUGCAAUUCCCAUUUCUCUGGCAGGAGGCAGUUCCCCGAGGAUCACUGUUUACACUGAAAAGUGCAAAGUUCUGCUCUAAUUAGGCAAACCACAAACAAAUGUAAACACUUCAGCAGACCAUUUUUACAGAACGUGAGAGCAGACACAGCACCACAGUGAGUUAAUCCUCCUGCCGUGCCUUCCCACCUCUCCGAGUGCCUCACCGAGGAGCCUCCUCGGGGUAGCUGCUCACAGCAGCAGCCACAGCCCAGAGCAGCACCAAACACAAUCACAGAUUUAUUCAGCAAUGCCCUGGGUCGUUCCUGUCCUAUUCCCCAGUGAAUUAUCAAGGCAUUUACUGCCUAGAACAUCCACACAUUCAUUUAUCAUCUCGCUGCGUUCAGAAAGCUGCACAUGACACGCUGACUGCACCUUCCCAACAGGCACAACCCAGAGGACACUGCACAGGCCUGUGGUGUGCUCAGAGGAAAAAAUGAUUUUGCAUCUUCCCAUUUGCCACCUUAGUCUCCCUAAUGUGGGAAUUGCUGACCCUCCAAAGGAGCUAGCAGCUCACACACUAUACGUGUGUUUAUAAGCUUAAAAGGACUCUUCAUAUGCAGCACAGCCAUUUCAGAUCCCUGGGAAGAGUUUUGUACUUUUCCCUGUUGAAAGCUACAUGUGCUUUCACAUACAGCCAAAUUAAGCCAACAAAUAAGUGCAGCUUAAAGUUACUUUUAAUCUUCUGUGAGUGGUAAGAUUUAGCCGGUGUAGAUUCAGCACUGAGCACAACUCAGCUUUCAGAAAGGCUGAAGGCCCAGCUCAGCAGAUGGUCACUCAGGGGUUACCUGCUGCUCUGGCACACAGAGGUCACUGCCCAGCACGGGGGACAGAUGGCACAGGGCAGGCACUGAGAACCCAUUGUGUGAGCAACAGUCACUCGGGAGAAAGCUACACCUGCCAACAUCUGGAAUAGUUUAUCAAGUAUCAUUCAAAAAGCAACUAAAUAUUGCACUGCCUUCUGAAGAGAGCUUUCUGAGCGGUGUUCGGAGAAAGACAGUGCAAAUUCUUUUAAGUCCUUUAGUUUUAGAUUGUUCAUGUUAUAGGCUGCCAAUAACAAAGUGUAACUAUUUCUCAGCUCUGCUUGGGAAGGAUAAUUUCAGUUCAUGCUUGAAAUUAUGUAUUUUAAGUAUUUCUAAUAUGUUCACCAAGGUGGACACCGUGGUCACCACAGCCCAGCUGCUCAGGUUGGAAGGCAGAAUUCCCUCAGUGUCCUGCCCAGUGCUGCUGGGAACCUGGUGAUCCCACACCCGGGGCGUGGAACAUGGCACAGCUCUGGGAUCGAAGAGUAGCAACACCUCAACAUUACUGUUCUUGUGUUACUGGCAGAUGGUUAUCAAGGUCCUCCUGAACAGCAGCUGUGCCCUCAUCGUGGUGUCAGCUGCAAGUGUGACGAGUGUGUCCAUCCCAUCAUCCCCAUGGCUGACAAAAUUGCUAAAUAGUAUUGGCCCUAAUAUUGACUCCCAAGGACAACCACAGCAUAACAGGCCACCAGUUAGUGCUUGGACCCUUGACUAGCCACCCUUUGAACAAAACAGCCCAGUUUGUCACCCAGUUUGUCUACAAGGAUGAUAUGGGAGAGACUGUGUCAAAAGCCUUGCCUAAAGUUAAAGUUAGUGACAAAAUUACUGUCUCCUCAUUCAAGGAUCCAGGAAUGAGGCUGGUCAGGCAUGAUCUUCCCUUGGUAAACCCACAGUGACUGUUCCCAAUUACCCUCCUAUCCUUCAAGUGCCUAGAAGGGUCUUUUGGGAGAAUUUGCUCCAUACCCUUCCCACUGAAGGAAUGAGACGAGGAUGACCAGCCUGCAGUUCCCCAGAGCAGCUACUACUGAGCAGAGCCGAGUUAAAGGUGAUUCAUUGUCCCUUAUCAGCUGAAUUUUACUAUACAGAGACAUUCCUCCCCUUUCCCCUACAUUGGGUAGAGCUUGCCUUACCUCAACACUGAAAACACACACUGUUUGCAGAAAGAAGUGGGAAGUAAGGUCAUUGUGAUAAAUAUUUUUACUCAUUUUCCUUUACACAGAAAACAAUCCCAGUUCCUGCUUACCAACAAAACUGAAAGGAAACCUACACAGAGUUGAAUGUUCCAUGAACCUGCACUGCGUUCCUCAAUAAACACUCUACAGACA